rnacentral:snoRNA from 1 species
AAGUAGCAAUCUGCGGCUGAUAAUAAAAUUUGCUUAGUGUAAUUUGAACAUGUUCUGGGGAAACUGUAACUCAUUUCUGUAAUCUCUCCUGAGUGAGACCAUCUGUCAUGUUGACUUGAUGGAU